rnacentral:SRP_RNA from 1 species
GCCAGGAGUGGUGGUGCAUGCCUUUUAUACCUGACACUAGGGAAGGCUAAGGCUGGUGGAUCCUUUGAGUUAGGGAGUUCUGAGCUGCAACAGAGCUAACACUGAUGCAGUAUCUGUACUGUGUCUAGUGCUAAUACGGUGAGUACUUAGGAGGGGAGGGCCAGGUUUCUUAAAGAGGGGAGGACUAGUCUAGGUUAGAAAAACAGAGCAAGGUUAAGCUUCCACACUUGUCAGCAUUGGGAUUGGGUCCAUGAAUGACUGCUGUACUUCCAGCCCAAACAAGAUAGGAAGUCUCUCUGUCUCU